AUGAUUGACACAAAUUGCCCCAUCAUGAUCUGGAACAUCCGUGGCUUAAACACGCCGGCAUGACGCGCAGUUGUCUGUGAAACGGCAGAAGCUCAUAGGCUAGCCAUCCUCUGCCUCCAGGAGACCAAAAUCGAAACCUGGAGUCGCCCCCUGGUCAAGGACGUCGGCGGUGCAAGACUAACUGAUUGCGUCGUGCUCCCUGCCUCCGGCACCAGGGGAGGGGCAGCAAUCUUCUGGGACAGCUCUAUUGUAGAUGUGCAAUUGCAUGCCAUCGGCCUCUUCUCCAUCACUGCCCGCGUCACCCUG
rnacentral:rRNA from 1 species